GACGAACGCUGGCGGCGUGCCUAAUACAUGCAAGUAGAACGCUGAAGGAGGAGCUUGCUCUUCUGGAUGAGUUGCGAACGGGUGAGUAACGCGUAGGUAACCUGCCUGGUAGCGGGGGAUAACUAUUGGAAACGAUAGCUAAUACCGCAUAAGAGUAGAUGUUGCAUGACAUUUGCUUAAAAGGUGCAAUUGAAUCACUACCAGAGGGCCCUGCGUUGUUUUAGUAAGUUGGGGGGGUAAGGGCCAACCAAGGGGAAGACACAUACCCGUCCUGAGGGGGGGGUCGGCCACAACUGGAAUGGGACCCGGCCCAGACUUCCACCGGAGGCAGCAGUAGUGGAUCUUCCGCAAUGGACGGAAGUCUUACCGAGCAACGCCGCGGGAGUGAAGAAGGUUUUCGGAUCGUAAAGCUCUGUUGUAAGAGAAGAACGAGUGUGAGAGUGGAAAGUUCACACUGUGACGGUAUCUUACCAGAAAGGGACGGCUAACUACGUG
rnacentral:rRNA from 1 species